ensembl:misc_RNA Y_RNA Y RNA
GGUCGGUCUAAGAGUGAAGGUGGAAUUGAAAUCAAUCACUUAGAAAUAAAACCGAUUUAAGAUGCUCCCUGAAUUUCCACUGCUUCACUUGACUAGACAAAA